rnacentral:rRNA from 1 species
GCGUCUUCGGCGUCCGCAUUGUAAUCUCAAGAAGUGUUUUCCGCUUCGGACCAUGCCUAAGUCCCUUGGAAAAGGGCAUCAUAGAGGGUGAUAAUCCCGUACAUGGCAUGGAGCGCCCGAGGCUUUGUGAUACGCUUUCUAAGAGUCGAGUUGUUUGGGAAUGCAGCUCAAAAUGGGUGGUAAAUGCCAUCUAAGGCUAAAUAUUGGGGAGAGACCGAUAGCGAACAAGUACAGUGAUGGAAAGAUGAAAAGAACUUUGAAAAGAGAGUUAAACAGUACGUGAAAUUGCCAAAAGGGAAGGGUAGGAGGUCAGAGAUGCGUCUUGGGAUUCAGCCUUGCUUUUGCUUGGUGUUUUUCCCAAGUUGCAGGCCAACGUCGGUUUUGGGCACUGGAGAAGGGUGGAAGGAACGUGGCACCUCUCGGGGUGUGUUAUAGCCUUCUACUGGAUACAGCGACCGAGACCGAGGACAGCAGCGUACUCGCAAGAGCGGGCCUUCGGGCACCUUUACGCUUAGGGCGUUGGCAUAAUGGCCCUCUACCACC